AUUGAACGCUGGCGGCAGGCCUAACACAUGCAAGUCGAACGGUAACAGGAAGAAGCUUGCUUCUUUGCUGACGAGUGGCGGACGGGUGAGGAAUGUCUGGGAAACUGCCUGAUGGAGGGGGAUAACUACUGGAAACGGUAGCUAAUACCGCAUAACGUCGCAAGACCAAAGAGGGGGACCUUCGGGCCUCUUGCCAUCGGAUGUGCCCAGAUGGGAUUAGCUAGUAGGUGGGGUAACGGCUCACCUAGGCGACGAUCCCUAGCUGGUCUGAGAGGAUGACCAGCCACACUGGAACUGAGACACGGUCCAGACUCCUACGGGAGGCAGCAGUGGGGAAUAUUGCACAAUGGGCGCAAGCCUGAUGCAGCCAUGCCGCGUGUAUGAAGAAGGCCUUCGGGUUGUAAAGUACUUUCAGCGGGGAGGAAGGGAGUAAAGUUAAUACCUUUGCUCAUGGACGUUACCCGCAGAAGAAGCACCGGCUAACUCCGG
rnacentral:rRNA from 1 species